rnacentral:rRNA from 1 species
UACAGAGGGUGCGAGCGUUUGUUCGGAAUUAUUGGGCGUAAAGGGCGCGUAGGCGGUGCGGUAAGUCACCUGUGAAAUCUCCUGGCUCAACUGGGGAGCUUGCAGGCGAAACUGCCGUGCUGGAGUGUGGGAGAGGUGCGUGGAAUUCCUGGUGUAGCGGUGAAAUGCGUAGAUAUCAGGAGGAACACCUGUGGCGAAAGCGGCGCACUGGACCACAACUGACGCUGAGGCGCGAAAGCUAGGGGAGCAAACAGG